AACCAACUCUUUUGACCUCCCAAAGCCCCUGAACUUAUACACACAUAUUCUACCCUGCACAAAUACAUAUAAUUAGUAAAACAGUGUGCCUGGAGAGUUGGCUCAACAUUUAAGAACAUGCACUGCUCUUCUAGAGGAUCUGACUUCAGUUUCUAACACCUAGACCAGGUGGCCAAAACUUCAGAGAGAUCUGACUCUCUGGGCCUCUGUAUCUGGCUUGUAGUAUCUGUAUUCACACACACACACACACACACACAUACACACACACACACACACACACACACACACGCACACACACAUGCACAUAUAUACACACACACCUUCAUGUAAUUAAAAAUAAUAAAAGUAAAUCUUAAAACAUAUAAAAAUAAAUUUUAAAAAGGUCUAAUUUCCUUGUCCAUUUGUGUGCUUUUGGAAGCUUAUCACCAUCCCAAAGUUAUGUGUAGAUCUCUGGCAACCACUUUUAAGGCAUUUAUAACCAUAUGCAUAUGCUCCCUGGAAUAUAAAACUAACCAUUUUACAUGCCCACUUCAGUGAACAAUGCAAAUAUAGCCACAAACCACUGUGUCCUUAUGUCUCCAUCUAUGUAAUUUAAAUAGGAAGAAAUGACACUGUCAUAUUGCAGAGCAAUAAUAUAGAAGGGAGGUUCCAGGAUAUUUUGAACAAUUUAUAACUUUUCACAAAUUAGCUGUGAUGUCUCAUGUCGUCCAAACAUUCAUUAACACAAUUUUCAAAAAUUUAAAAUUGAUUUGGGGGAGGCUAUCCAGAGGUUUUUUGUAUUUCAGACUUCAUGGAAUUAAAAACCUAAUGGAAGUUACUAGUACAUUUGGCCAGGCAUUCAAUGAGAAGUGUGCAUUUCGCAGAUGUUAAUAUCAAGCCUUAUGCAUGGCAAAUAUACACUCCUAUAAUAAAAAAUUCAAUUAUGGAUCACAACACAAUGAGACCACUUGGGGGCAUAUUUCAUAUGAAUAUUUGCUCUGCUUUGAAUCUUAAUUGUGUUGAAUGCUCAUUAAAGAGCAUUAGAGAAGUUUCAUAAUUACAUUUAAAACUAUAGAUGAGGAACUUUGCAAAUCAUUUUCCCCCUUUGAAGAAAAAUGUUUACCUCUAAAUUGAUGUGAGAAAGUAACAUAGUUCACAUAUUAUUUAAAAUCUCCCCACUGCAUAAUUAUUGGGCAGCACCUGAUUAGCUCUGAAGGUUAUGGUAUUGUACUUCAGAUGUUAGGUUAUUACAAGGUGAUACUAGAAUUAGACAUUCUGAAAUGGGUACCACAAGAUACCACAUUAUACUUACAAAGGUCUUAACAUUUAAAUAGCUGUCUUCCCUUCUCUACUUCUUACUACCAUAAAAAGUAGGUUAAAUUUUCAUUUUGAUCUAAUAGUCUUCUCCUUUGGAGAUAAAAACGUCAUAAAAUACAACCUCAAUUUUUGUAUGUUAGCCAUCUCAUCCAUAUUAAUUUGUAAAGAAAAGAAGGAUGGAUUUGGUUUUAAAAUAUAAAUAUUACCUGUUCCCUUGGCCAGUGAUGUGCAUAGAUUUGGGGAUCUACUGUAAAUCUUUCAAAAUUUGAGAGAUUUGUUUCAUGUUAUUUCAUUCAUGAUUCUCUCUCUCUCUCUCUCUCUCUCAGCUGUCUAUGAGCAGUCAUGUGAAGCCUAUAAGCACCAAGGAAAUGCUUCUGGAUUCUACUACAUAGACUCAGAUGGGAGUGGUCCUUUGCAGCCAUUCCUCUUAUACUGCAAUAUGACUGGUAAGUUAACACACGUCCACUGGCUAGACAAAUCUGCUUUAAUAGACUGAUUGCACAAAAAUCAAAAUGAAAUAAGUAUCACAUCAAUCUGAUUUGCAACAUGACUGAAGUAGAUAUUCGUUUUCAUUUCCUCUCUGUUGCUGUGAUUAAACAUCCGGACACGAGGUACCUUAGGGGAGAAAGGGUUUAUGGUAGCUUACAAUUCCAGAUUCUGGUGUAUCUUGGGGGAAGCCAUGGCAACAGGAUCUUGAGUCAGCUAGUUACAUCAGAUCCACAGUCAGGAAAAGAGGUUAUGAAUACAUCCUUGCUUAGUGCUCAAGCUAGCUUUUUCUGCACUUACACUGUCUAGCAAAUGUAAUGAUGCUACCCACCGUGGCCCGAGUCUUCCCAGGAGAUAAUCAUCCACAGACAGGCACACAGACCAACUUUCCUUACAUAAUUCCUCAUUGGAACUCUCUUCCCAGGAGAUUCUAGAUUGUAGCAAGAUGAUAAUUAAAACUAAGCAUCACAGUACUAUUUAGUAAAACGCAACAUAAAUAUUUAACAGAUGUGUUAGUUAAAUGUUAAUAAUUUACAAUAUUGUUAGUCUGUGUGCAAGUAGUGACUGAGCCGUGUUUCUAAGGAUAAGUGUUUCCUAUUGUGUCUCAAAACACAAGCCGUUGUCAGAGCAAUCAAUGCCUAGGAAAGAAAGAUCUGGAAAAAAAAAAGAGCCAUUGUUUUAAAUAUGGGUAACUAUGAAAAUUAUUUGUUUUCUAGAAUUCCUGUUCUACAUAAAUUCAGACAUAAAUUAACAGUCACAGGAAAAAUGGGUUUGAUUAAAUUCAACAUCUACCCACUAUUCAAAAGGAGCCAGAGUGCUCAGAAAGAUCUGUUAACAUGGGUAACAGCUUGUAACUAUUGAGAACUUUCCCCAUCUUGCCAGUGUGAACAGCUUUCUGUAUGGGGGGUCUUAGCCAAUACAAUCGGUAGAAAAAGCACAAGGAUGGGAAAGAAUGGCCUAAAAUUUUCAUUAUUCAUGGAUUAUUAAAUUACACAUUAAAAUAUUUUGAAGAACCCUAGUAAAUGAUUUCAAUUCAUAAUAAUUACUGGAUCCCAAGCUAACAUAAAAUUAUUUGUUUCUGUAUACUAGUAGUGUGCAAUUAGAAAAUGACCUUUUAGAAGAUGGGAUCUCCAACGCCUCAAAACUCUCAAACACAC
rnacentral:lncRNA from 1 species